CCUACGGGUGGCAGCAGUGAGGAAUAUUGGUCAAUGGGCGAGAGCCUGAACCAGCCAAGUCGCGGGAAGGAUGAAGGAUCUAUGGUUUGUAAACUUCUUUUAUAGGGGAAUAAAGUGAGGAACGUGUGCCGUUUUGUAUGUACCAUAUGAAUAAGCAUCGGCUAACUCCGUGCCAGCAGCCGCGGUAAUACGGAGGAUGCGAGCUUUAUCCGGAUUUAUUGGGUUUAAAGGGUGCGUAGGGGGGUAAUUAAGUCAGCGGUGAAAGUUUGUGGCUCAACCAUAAAAUUGCCGUUGACACUGGUUGCCUUUAGUAUAUUUGAGGUAGGCUGUAUGCGUGGUGUCGCGG
rnacentral:rRNA from 1 species